rnacentral:RNase_P_RNA from 1 species
GGACGGACAGCCGCGUGGCUCCGCCGAAAGGCGAUUCCAUGAGGAAAGUCCGGGCUCCACAGGGCAAGAAUAACGGGUAACGCCCGCCGAAGGCGACUUCAGGAAAAGUGCAACAGAAAUAAACCGCCCCAUCGGGAAUUCCGACGGGGUAAGGAUGGAAAGGCGAGGUAAGAGCUCACCCGCCGCAUGGGAACAUUGCGGCGCUGUAAACUCUAUUCGGAGCAACACCGUGGAGGAGGCAAUGGUCGGCCCGACCGCUUCCGGGGAGGUGGCUUGAGCGUACCGGCAACGGUGCGUCGAGAUAGAUGGCUGUCAAGACAGAACCCGGCUUAUAGUCCCGAUU